rnacentral:rRNA from 1 species
ACUCCUACGGGAGGCAGCAGUAGGGAAUCUUCGGCAAUGGACGCAAGUCUGACCGAGCAACGCCGCGUGAGUGAAGAAGGUUUUCGGAUCGUAAAGCUCUGUUGUCAGCAAAGAACAGGAGAAAGAGGAAAU